rnacentral:rRNA from 1 species
GAGUUUGAUCCUGGCUCAGAAUUGAACGCUGGCGGCAUGCCUUACACAUGCAAAGUCGAACGGCAGCAUGAUCUAGCUUGCUAGAUUGAUGGCGAGUGGUCGAACGGGCGAGUAAUACAUUCGGAACGUGCCCUGUAGUGGGGGAUAACUAGUCGAAAGAUUAGCUAAUACCGCAUACGACCUGAGGGUGAAAGUGGGGGACCGCAAGGCCUCAUGCUAUAGGAGCGGCCGAUGUCUGAUUAGCUAGUUGGUGGGGUAAAGGGCCCGACCAAGGCGACGAGUCAGUAGCUGGUCUGAGAGGACGGAUCAGCCACACU